rnacentral:rRNA from 2 species
GAACUCUGGUAUUGAUUGGUGCUUGCAUCAUGAUUUACAUUUGAGUGAGUGGCGAACUGGUGAGUAACACGUGGGAAACCUGCCCAGAAGCGGGGGAUAACACCUGGAAACAGAUGCUAAUACCGCAUAACAACUUGGACCGCAUGGUCCGAGUUUGAAAGAUGGCUUCGGCUAUCACUUUUGGAUGGUCCCGCGGCGUAUUAGCUAGAUGGUGGGGUAACGGCUCACCAUGGCAAUGAUACGUAGCCGACCUGAGAGGGUAAUCGGCCACAUUGGGACUGAGACACGGCCCAAACUCCUACGGGAGGCAGCAGUAGGGAAUCUUCCACAAUGGACGAAAGUCUGAUGGAGCAACGCCGCGUGAGUGAAGAAGGGUUUCGGCUCGUAAAACUCUGUUGUUAAAGAAGAACAUAUCUGAGAGUAACUGUUCAGGUAUUGACGGUAUUUAACCAGAAAGCCACGGCUAACUACGUGCCAGCAGCCGCGGUAAUACGUAGGUGGCAAGCGUUGUCCGGAUUUAUUGGGCGUAAAGCGAGCGCAGGCGGUUUUUUAAGUCUGAUGUGAAAGCCUUCGGCUCAACCGAAGAAGUGCAUCGGAAACUGGGAAACUUGAGUGCAGAAGAGGACAGUGGAACUCCAUGUGUAGCGGUGAAAUGCGUAGAUAUAUGGAAGAACACCAGUGGCGAAGGCGGCUGUCUGGUCUGUAACUGACGCUGAGGCUCGAAAGUAUGGGUAGCAAACAGGAUUAGAUACCCUGGUAGUCCAUACCGUAAACGAUGAAUGCUAAGUGUUGGAGGGUUUCCGCCCUUCAGUGCUGCAGCUAACGCAUUAAGCAUUCCGCCUGGGGAGUACGGCCGCAAGGCUGAAACUCAAAGGAAUUGACGGGGGCCCGCACAAGCGGUGGAGCAUGUGGUUUAAUUCGAAGCUACGCGAAGAACCUUACCAGGUCUUGACAUACUAUGCAAAUCUAAGAGAUUAGACGUUCCCUUCGGGGACAUGGAUACAGGUGGUGCAUGGUUGUCGUCAGCUCGUGUCGUGAGAUGUUGGGUUAAGUCCCGCAACGAGCGCAACCCUUAUUAUCAGUUGCCAGCAUUAAGUUGGGCACUCUGGUGAGACUGCCGGUGACAAACCGGAGGAAGGUGGGGAUGACGUCAAAUCAUCAUGCCCCUUAUGACCUGGGCUACACACGUGCUACAAUGGAUGGUACAACGAGUUGCGAACUCGCGAGAGUAAGCUAAUCUCUUAAAGCCAUUCUCAGUUCGGAUUGUAGGCUGCAACUCGCCUACAUGAAGUCGGAAUCGCUAGUAAUCGCGGAUCAGCAUGCCGCGGUGAAUACGUUCCCGGGCCUUGUACACACCGCCCGUCACACCAUGAGAGUUUGUAACACCCAAAGUCGGUGGG